rnacentral:rRNA from 1 species
AUGCCCGCCUGCGACGACGACCACGCCUCGCUCCUCAGAUCCCACCCGGCCGCCGUCGCCGGAGGGGCGGGCGCCACCUCGUCGUCGCUGUCGUGCCCCUCGCCGCGCGCGGCCGCCGGCCACCGCCACGUCGACGUCGAGGCGGCCGACGGGGCCGCCUCCCCGAGGCGCGCCGGGGGCGUGCGCGGCCUCCUGCGCCACCUCGACCGCCGCGUCUACGCCCGCGGAUCUGCGCGCCGGCAGCAGCAGCAGCAGCUCGAUCGCUCCGCCGCGCUCCCCGAGGAGCCGUCUGCGGCGCCGUCGCAGACGCAGAGGGAGAGGCCGGGGGAGGAGCUCGGGGACGGGGCGCCCCCCGAGUGGGCGCUGCUGCUCAUUGGCUGCCUCCUUGGGCUCGCCACCGGCAUCUGCGUCGCCGCGUUCAACCGCGGGGUUCAUGUCAUCCAUGAUUGGGCGUGGGCAGGUACUCCCAACGAAGGUGCAGCUUGGCUCCGUCUGCAGAGGCUAUCUGAUACUUGGCAUAGAAUACUGCUGAUCCCUGUGUCAGGAGGUGUAAUCGUAGGAAUGAUGCACGGGUUGCUCGAGAUAUUUGAACAGCUCAAACUUGCGAAACAACCGCAGAACCAAGGAAUCAGUUUACUUGCAGCCAUCUUUCCGACUGUAAAGGCUGUACAGGCUGCCGUGACUCUUGGGACCGGUUGCUCAUUGGGGCCUGAGGGUCCUAGUGUGGAUAUUGGUAAAUCAUGUGCACUUGGGUGCUCAGAAAUGAUGGAGAACAAUCGCGAAAGACGGAUUGCUCUUGUGGCUGCUGGGGCUGCUGCUGGAAUUGCUUCAGGCUUUAAUGCAGCAGUUGCUGGGUGUUUCUUUGCCAUUGAGACUGUAUUGCGGCCCCUUAAAGCAGAAAAUGCACCUCCUUUUACGACCGCUAUGAUAAUAUUGGCAUCAGUUAUAUCAUCUACUGUAUCAAACGUCUUGCUUGGAGAAAGACCAGCUUUUACAGUGCCAGCAUAUGAGCUGAAAUCUGCUGCUGAGCUACCUCUAUACCUCAUCUUAGGAAUGCUUUGUGGGGCAGUCAGUGUGGUAUUUGGACGGUUGGUAGUAUGGUUUUCAAGAUUUUUCGCGUACAUGAAAGAAAGGUUUGAUUUUCCCAUUGUAGUGUACCCUGCUUUGGGUGGUCUUGGAGCUGGCCUCAUAGCCCUCAAAUAUCCAGGGAUUUUAUACUGGGGUUUCACAAAUGUUGAAGAAAUAUUGCAUACUGGGAAGAGUGCUUCUGCUCCUGGUAUCUGGUUGUUAACUCAACUUGCAGCUGCGAAGGUAGUUGCGACCGCCCUUUGCAAGGGGUCUGGUCUUGUGGGUGGACUAUAUGCUCCAAGCUUGAUGAUCGGGGCUGCUGUUGGAGCUACUUUUGGAGGGUCAGCUGCAUACUUAAUAAAUGCAGCUAUACCUGGUAGUGCUGCUGUUGCACAGCCACAAGCUUAUGCUCUUGUUGGAAUGGCUGCGACAUUGGCUUCAGUCUGCUCAGUCCCGUUGACUUCCGUAUUGCUUCUCUUUGAGCUGACAAAGGAUUACAGGAUUUUGCUACCUCUGAUGGGAGCAGUUGGACUGGCAAUAUGGGUUCCUUCUGUGGUAAACCAACCAAAUGAUGGUGAAUCUUCAGGGUUUAGAGCACCCAUGCGUGGUUAUUCUUUAGUUUCACUACAAGAUAAAAAUAGUAGCGUCUGGACGCGAAGUGAUUCCGUAGAUGAUCUUGAGCUUACUAUCUCACAAAGUGGUCUUCGUAACUAUGGUACCUACCAAGAGGAAGUGCUUCUAGAUGAUUUGAAGGAAGCCUGUUCAACCAUCUCGUCGUGUCUCACUCGAGGAUUCCAGUACCAGGGGAGUGAGCGCGGACUGCCAACAUGCUUUCCAGAUACCGAUUUGACCACUGCCAAAAACCUUAUGGAGGCCAGAGGGAUAAAGCAGCUGCCUGUCGUUAAGCGUGGCGUUGGGCAUAGAACCGAAAGAAGGCGCAAGCUUGUUGCCCUUCUCUAUUAUGAUUCUAUCGGCCACUGCUUACGGGAGGAGAUUGAGAACUGGAAAGCUAUAUACCAAAGAAAAGAAGAUUUCCACAUUUUAGCAACUGGUCACACAUUACAGUGA